UACGUAGGGGGCUAGCGUUGUCCGGAUUUAUUGGGCGUAAAGCGCGUGUAGGCGGCCAGAUAGGUCUGCUGUGAAAACUCGAGGCUCAACCUCGAGCUGUCGGCGGAAACCAUCCGGCUAGAGUCCGGAAGAGGAGAGUGGAAUUCCCGGUGUAGCGGUGAAAUGCGCAGAUAUCAGGAAGAACACCAGUGGCGAAGGCGGCUCUCUGGGACGGUACUGACGCUGAGACGCGAAAGCGUGGGGAGCAAACAGG
rnacentral:rRNA from 1 species